GACGAACGCUGGCGGCGUGCUUAACACGUGCAAGUCGAACGGAAAGGCCCUGCUUUUGUGGGGUGCUCGAGUGGCGAACGGGUGAGUAACACGUGAGUAACCUGCCCUUGACUUUGGGAUAACUUCAGGAAACUGGGGCUAAUACCGGAUAGGAGCUCCUGCUGCAUGGUGGGGGUUGGAAAGUUUCGGCGGUUGGGGAUGGACUCGCGGCUUAUCAGCUUGUUGGUGGGGUAGUGGCUUACCAAGGCUUUGACGGGUAGCCGGCCUGAGAGGGUGACCGGCCACAUUGGGACUGAGAUACGGCCCAGACUCCUACGGGAGGCAGCAGUGGGGAAUAGUGCACAAUGGGCGGAAGCCUGAUGCAGCAACGCCGCGUGCGGGAUGACGGCCUUCGGGUUGUAAACCGCUUUCGCCUGUGACGAAGCGUGAGUGACGGUAAUGGGUAAAGAAGCACCGGCUAACUACGUG
rnacentral:rRNA from 1 species